AUACGUAGGGUGCGAGCGUUGUCCGGAAUUACUGGGCGUAAAGAGCUCGUAGGUGGUUUGUCGCGUCGUCUGUGAAAUUCCGGGGCUUAACUCCGGGCGUGCAGGCGAUACGGGCAUAACUUGAGUACUGUAGGGGAGACUGGAGUUCCUGGUGUAGCGGUGAAAUGCGCAGAUAUCAGGAGGAACACCGGUGGCGAAGGCGGGUCUCUGGGCAGUAACUGACGCUGAGGAGCGAAAGCAUGGGUAGCGAACAGGAUUAGAUACCCUGGUAGUCCAUGCCGUAAACGGUGGGCGCUAGGUGUAGGGGUCUUCCACGACUUCUGUGCCGUAGCUAACGCAUUAAGCGCCCCGCCUGGGGAGUACGGCCGCAAGGCUAAAACUCAAAUGAAUUGACGGGG
rnacentral:rRNA from 1 species